GACACAGUGGCGCAACGGUUAGUGCGACGGCAUCCAUGAUGAUAGCGGAAGGGACCCGGGUUCGAGCCCGGGUAGUGUCA